rnacentral:rRNA from 3 species
UUCCAGAGAUGGAUUGGUGCCUUCGGGAACUGUGAGACAGGUGCUGCAUGGCUGUCGUCAGCUCGUGUUGUGAAAUGUUGGGUUAAGUCCCGCAACGAGCGCAACCCUUAUCCUUUGUUGCCAGCGGUCCGGCCGGGAACUCAAAGGAGACUGCCAGUGAUAAACUGGAGGAAGGUGGGGAUGACGUCAAGUCAUCAUGGCCCUUACGACCAGGGCUACACACGUGCUACAAUGGCGCAUACAAAGAGAAGCGACCUCGCGAGAGCAAGCGGACCUCAUAAAGUGCGUCGUAGUCCGGAUUGGAGUCUGCAACUCGACUCCAUGAAGUCGGAAUCGCUAGUAAUCGUGGAUCAGAAUGCCACGGUGAAUACGUUCCCGGGCCUUGUACACACCGCCCGUCACACCAUGGGAGUGGGUUGCAAAAGAAGUAGGUAGCUUAACCUUCGGGAGGGCGCUUACCACUUUGUGAUUCAUGACUGGGGUGAAGUCGUAACAAGGUAACCGUAGGGGAACCUGC